UACAGAGACUGCAAGCGUUUAUUCGGAUUCACUGGGCGUAAAGGGUGCGCAGGCGGUUGGGUGUGUCAGAUGUGAAAUCCCGAGGCUCAACCUCGGAACUGCGUCUGAAACUACUCGACUAGAGUACUGGAGAGGGUAACGGAAUUCGAACGGUGUAGCAGUGAAAUGCGUAGAUAUCGUGAGGAACACCAGAGGCGAAGGCGGUUACCUGGACAGUUACUGACGCUCAGGCACGAAAGCAUGGGGAGCAAAAGGG
rnacentral:rRNA from 1 species